UAUUCUUCAGCCCUGUCAACCUUGCACCUUUCAUCUUGUCUAAAAUUGACUGGUGAACAGUCCUGUGAAGGGAGAAACCAUAAGAACUUUGCUCAGCUGUAGGUCAUCACGAUAAAGGACACUGGCAAUUCAAAUAAUUCUGAGAAUUUGACAACUUGCCUGGGACACGAUGCCGUGAAUUAAUUAAUCUACCUUGGCAGCGCUCCACUGGUGAAUAUUUAAAUAGAUGUAUUUUUAACAAAGGAGUUCAUGGGCAGGAAACAGCGAGCAAAUGUUGGAGAACGCUUGGGUAUAGAAAAAAUUCUAAAUGUGUUCUCUCAUUGUUCUGCUGCAAGGAAUUCAUUUAAGUGCUGAUACUUUGGAGCCCUCUACUGGAACAUGUACCAUGCAGCACAGACUUACUGUGUGAAUAUGGACAAGGCAUUUGGGCAGAAUUUUCUGUGUUUCAAUAUUUGGGUGCCCAUCUCAAGAUACCAGAGGCUUGAUUUCAGUAGUACAAAAGAUUGACUGCCUCCUGGAAAUC